AGUGAACGCUGGCGGUAGGCCUAACACAUGCAAGUCGAACGGCAGCACAGGAGAGCUUGCUCUCUGGGUGGCGAGUGGCGGACGGGUGAGGAAUACAUCGGAAUCUACUCUGUCGUGGGGGAUAACGUAGGGAAACUUACGCUAAUACCGCAUACGACCUACGGGUGAAAGCAGGGGACCUUCGGGCCUUGCGCGAUUGAAUGAGCCGAUGUCGGAUUAGCUAGUGGGCGGGGUAAAGGCCCACCAAGGCGACGAUCCGUAGCUGGUCUGAGAGGAUGAUCAGCCACACUGGAACUGAGACACGGUCCAGACUCCUACGGGAGGCAGCAGUGGGGAAUAUUGGACAAUGGGCGCAAGCCUGAUCCAGCCAUACCGCGUGGGUGAAGAAGGCCUUCGGGUUGUAAAGCCCUUUUGUUGGGAAAGAAAUCCAGCUGGCUAAUACCCGGUUGGGAUGACGGUACCCAAAGAAGAAGCCCCGGCUAACUUCGUGCCAGCCGCCGCCGUAA
rnacentral:rRNA from 1 species